GACGAACGCUGUCGGCGUGCUUAACACAUGCAAGUCGAACGGAAAGGCCCUGCUUUUGUGGGGUGCUCGAGUGGCGAACGGGUGAGUAACACGUGAGUAACCUGCCCUUGACUUUGGGAUAACUUCAGGAAACUGGGGCUAAUACCGGAUAGGAGCUCCUGCUGCAUGGUGGGGGUUGGAAAGUUUCGGCGGUUGGGGAUGGACUCGCGGCUUAUCAGCUUGUUGGUGGGGUAGUGGCUUACCAAGGCUUUGACGGGUAGCCGGCCUGAGAGGGUGACCGGCCACAUUGGGACUGAGAUACGGCCCAGACUCCUACGGGAGGCAGCAGUGGGGAAUAUUGCACAAUGGGCGGAAGCCUGAUGCAGCAACGCCGCGUGCGGGAUGACGGCCUUCGGGUUGUAAACCGCUUUCGCCUGUGACGAAGCGUGAGUGACGGUAAUGGGUAAAGAAGCACCGGCUAACUACGUGCCAGCAGCCGCGGUGAUACGUAGGGUGCGAGCGUUGUCCGGAUUUAUUGGGCGUAAAGGGCUCGUAGGUGGUUGAUCGCGUCGGAAGUGUAAUCUUGGGGCUUAACCCUGAGCGUGCUUUCGAUACGGGUUGACUUGAGGAAGGUAGGGGAGAAUGGAAUUCCUGGUGGAGCGGUGGAAUGCGCAGAUAUCAGGAGGAACACCAGUGGCGAAGGCGGUUCUCUGGGCCUUUCCUGACGCUGAGGAGCGAAAGCGUGGGGAGCGAACAGGCUUAGAUACCCUGGUAGUCCACGCUGUAAACGGUGGGUACUAGGUGUGGGGUCCAUUCCACGGGUUCCGUGCCGUAGCUAACGCUUUAAGUACCCCGCCUGGGGAGUACGGCCGCAAGGCUAAAACUCAAAGGAAUUGACGGGGCCCCGCACAAGCGGCGGAGCAUGCGGAUUAAUUCGAUGCAACGCGUAGAACCUUACCUGGGUUUGACAUGGAUCGGGAGUGCUCAGAGAUGGGUGUGCCUCUUUUGGGGUCGGUUCACAGGUGGUGCAUGGCUGUCGUCAGCUUGUGUCGUGAGAUGUUGGGUUAAGUCCCGCAACGAGCGCAACCCUUGUUCACUGUUGCCAGCACGUUAUGGUGGGGACUCAGUGGAGACCGCCGGGGUCAACUCGGAGGAAGGUGGGGAUGACGUCAAGUCAUCGUGCCCCUUAUGUCCAGGGCUUCACGCAUGCUACAAUGGCUGGUACAGAGAGUGGCGAGCCUGUGAGGGUGAGCGAAUCUCGGAAAGCCGGUCUCAGUUCGGAUUGGGGUCUGCAACUCGACCUCAUGAAGUCGGAGUCGCUAGUAAUCGCAGAUCAGCAACGCUGCGGUGAAUACGUUCCCGGGGCU
rnacentral:rRNA from 1 species